rnacentral:rRNA from 1 species
ACGAGAGGUUUCGAUUACUGGCUCAGGAUGAACGCUAGCUACAGGCUUAACACAUGCAAGUCGAGGGGCAGCAUUGGAGUAGCAAUACUUCAGAUGGCGACCGGCGCACGGGUGAGUAACACGUAUCCAACCUGCCGCUUACUCGGGGAUAGCCUUUCGAAAGAAAGAUUAAUACCCGAUGGUAUAAAGAGUUCGCAUGUUCUCUUUAUUAAAGAAUUUCGGUAAGCGAUGGGGAUGCGUUCCAUUAGAUAGUUGGCGGGGUAACGGCCCACCAAGUCUACGAUGGAUAGGGGUUCUGAGAGGAAGGUCCCCCACAUUGGAACUGAGACACGGUCCAAACUCCUACGGGAGGCAGCAGUGAGGAAUAUUGGUCAAUGGACGAGAGUCUGAACCAGCCAAAAGUAGCGUGAAGGAUGACUGCCCUAUGGGUUGUAAACUUCUUUUAUAAGGGAAUAAAGUGAGGGACGUGUCCCUUUUUGUAUGUACCUUAUGAAUAAGGAUCGGCUAACUCCGUGCCAGCCGCCGC